rnacentral:rRNA from 1 species
CCUACGGGUGGCAGCAGUGGGGAAUAUUGGACAAUGGGCGAAAGCCUGAUCCAGCCAUGCCGCGUGUGUGAAGAAGGCCUUCGGGUUGUAAAGCACUUUCAGUGGGGAAGAAAGCCUUGGGGCUAAUACCCUCGAGGAAGGACAUCACCCACAGAAGAAGCACCGGCUAACUCCGUGCCAGCAGCCGCGGUAAUACGGAGGGUGCGAGCGUUAAUCGGAAUUACUGGGCGUAAAGCGCGCGUAGGCGGUCUGAUAAGCCGGUUGUGAAAGCCCCGGGCUCAACCUGGGAACGGCAUCCGGUACUGUCAGGCUAGAGUGCAGGAGAGGAAGGUAGAAUUCCCGGUGUAGCGGUGAAAUGCGUAGAGAUCGGGAGGAAUACCAGUGGCGAAGGCGGCCUUCUGGACUGACACUGACGCUGAGGUGCUAAAGCGUGGGUAGCAAACAGGAUUAGAUACCCCUGUAGUC